UCCUCCGUGGCGCAAUUGGCUAGCGCGUCUGACUGUUAUGAAGACACUCGUUUAGGGCAAUCAGGAGGUUGACAGUUCAAGCCUGUCCGGGGGAG